AGAGCUCCCAGAUGGCACAGGCGGUCCACAGACCUGCACCAGUCCUGGUGAGGCAGUACCAAGGCAAAGAGGAACCAGGGGUCCAGAAAUGCUGGAGUCAGCUUUUAAAACUUCAGUCCGGUGUGAAGGGGCACAAUAGAAGACGAAUGUGUUUAUGACAGCAGCCGCUGAGAUGGCAUAUUCAUCAUUUAGUUUGAAGGCUGGGCUGAACCAGUAGGACAAGCUUGGAUAAAUGCCUGCAUCCCAUAAGUACAGGUGAAGACAUUUUUCUGCACACAGAAGGAGGAGGAAGUGAUGUCAGAGUGAUGUCAGUAAGGCUGCCCUCUGUCAAACAAGAUCAGGAGUCUGUCAGCCUCAGCUCUGUUGAAGGAGAUACAGAGUCUUCUGCUAAUGAUGUGUUUUAACAGUGAUGACCCUGUGAAACCUCUAGCAGGAAACUGCUAAGUGCCUGAAAGGAAGGAGAUGUUCUCAGCCUUAAAUUAUUCACAUCACAGAAACUCGUUUUUGGAUGACAGUCAGUGCAAGAGAUAUAAUGAACUCUCUCUAAUGUCUCUUGCAUUGCUGUUAAAUAAAUCCAUAUGUGCUGUUGUUUGCUGUGCGACUGUAAUAGUACAU
ensembl:lncRNA